rnacentral:rRNA from 1 species
GGAUUCCCCUAGUAACUGCGAGUGAAGCGGGAAAAGCUCAAAUUUAAAAUCUGGCAGUCUAUGGCUGUCCGAGUUGUAAUCUAGAGAAGUUAUGUGCCCGCGCUGGACCGUGUACAAGUCUCCUGGAAUGGAGCGUCAUAGAGGGUGAGAAUCCCGUCUCUGACACGGACUACCAGGGCUUUGUGGUACGCUCUCAAAGAGUCGAGUUGUUUGGGAAUGCAGCUCUAAAUGGGUGGUAAAUUCCAUCUAAAGCUAAAUAUUGGCGAGAGACCGAUAGCGAACAAGUACCGUGAGGGAAAGAUGAAAAGAACUUUGGAAAGAGAGUUAAACAGUACGUGAAAUUGCUGAAAGGGAAACGCUUGAAGUCAGUCGCGUUAGCUGGGAAUCAGCCUCGCUAUUGCGUGGUGUACUUUCUGGUUGACGGGUCAGCAUCAAUUUUGACUGCUGGAAAAAGGCCUUGGGAAUGUGGCAGCUUCGGCUGUGUUAUAGCCUUUGGUCACAUACAGCGGUUGGGAUUGAGGAACUCAGCACGCCGCAAGGCCGGGUUUCGACCACGUCCGUGCUUAGGAUGCUGGCAUAAUGGCUUUAAGCGACCCGUCUUGAAACACGGACCAAGGAGUCUAACAUGCCUGCGAGUGUUUGGGUGGUAAACCCGAGUGCGUAAUGAAAGUGAAAGUUGAGAUCCCUGUCGUGGGGAGCAUCGACGCCCGGACUUGAACUUUUGUGACGGAUCCGCGGUAGAGCAUGUAUGUUGGGACCCGAAAGAUGGUGAACUAUGCCUGAAUAGGGUGAAGCCAGAGGAAACUCUGGUGGAGGCUCGUAGCGAUUCUGACGUGCAAAUCGAUCGUCAAAUUUGGGUAUAGGGGCGAAAGACUAAU